AUGUGCCCAAGGUCACCCUGGGAGGUGGCAGAGCUGGUUCUCAGCCUGGGCCCCCCACCUCGUCUGCAGCCCCGCCUGCAGCAGGCGUGGACGCCCCCCGGCUGCCCUCCACAGAGGCAUCGCCUGCCCGGAGGCCCCAAGCAAACACAGGACGUGGGGGGGGGGGGGGGGGGGGGGGUGUGGAGGCGGAGCCGCCUCACCAGACAGCACGUGCCGAGGGUGUGUGACAGCUGCAGGGCACGCCCCUGCAGACAGACCCGCGCCCCCUUCUCUGACAAGGGCAGGCCCUAUGCGCAGAGGCCCUAUGCUCGCCCUGGCUGUGUCCAGGAUGCACGGGGCCCUCGCUGCCUGGGCAGGGCCGUGAGGACAGGGUCCCCCAGCUCUCUGCCCUCAAGGCUGACCCAGACUCGGCGGCCAGACCAGGCUGCUGCUGAGGGGGUGGCCAUGACCCUGGAGUCCUCUUCCGGAAGCCGCUGUGCCAGGAGAGGCCGCGGCCCGUUUCCCGCCUCAGCUCCCACAACACUGAAUCCCACCACCGCUGAGGAUGAGCCCUCCUUCCCCGAGAGGAGCCGCCUGCGCCAGGUGCUGGCCAGCUCCGUGGUGGUCCUGACAAUGGUGGCCGUGGUGCUCUGUGCCUGGUGCCCAUCACUGUGGACCGGGCCAUCACGUCCAUCCUGGUGUCCGGGUCGGACAACAGCAUCCUCGCAGCCCGGGCUUCGUGCAUCGCCAGCCUCACGGGGUCCGUGGUGCACCUCGUCUUCAUCCUCAUGCUCUCCAAGAUCUACGUGGCCCGGGCACACGUCCUGA
rnacentral:lncRNA from 1 species